AGAGGCCUUCCGUGGCAGGGGUGGAACGCUUGCCUUGUCACCGUGGUGAUGAAGCAAGCAUUCUGCCAGGCCACUCACGCUGCCUGC
rfam:Myotis davidii contig91840, whole genome shotgun sequence.